AACUUAACUUGCCAAUUUUGUGAGAUGGAAUAUUCAAGUAUAUCGACCAAACACCGACAUAUACGGGCAAAACACUCUGGCCAAGAGGGAUCUAGAUCUGAAAGAAUGCAUCAUAUUUUAUGCCCAAUAUGCACAGACAGGACUAUUUCUUUUUUACUUCAUACAGACUUAAUUAAAAAAAAUUUAAAUCCUUUUCAUUGCUUAACUAUUAAUGAAUCUACUUUGCAUUUUAGGAAUUUUGAAGAGUUUUCAGUUUGGAGGACCCAAGAGAAUAGGGAAGUAAAUUACCCUUGCCGUACACGAAAAAAAUAUCAACACGGUGAAGAAAAAAUAUUUUAUGAGUGUAACAGAAGUAAUUAAAAAGGAUUUUUCAGCUCAGCUAAAAAACGAAUUGUGAAAACUGGAGGGGGACAUGUCCUUCAAGAAUUGUAGUUAACAUUUUAACUGAGGGAUUUGUGACGGUAAACUUUGUCGAAAAACAUGUAGGACACAUUGAUGAACUAAGGACCAAGCGAUUAUCAAAAACUGAACAGGAGACUAUUGUCGAAAAACUAAUUGCAGGAGUUUCAAAUAAUAGAAUAAUUGUAGAUUCACGAAUAAUUCAAAAUGAUCAUUUGCAGAGAAUAAACCUUGUCACGAGAGGAGAUUUCGCAUACUUAAUCAGGAAAUUUAAAAUUGUUAAGAGGAGAGAUGCAGAUAACAUGAUAGCAGUAGCACUAAAAGUUGCAAGCAAGAAAAGUGGUGAGAGUUUUUCUGGGUUAAAUGAUGGAGAUUUUGCAAUUGGGUAUAUGAACGGUAUUAUGGAGACAAAGCUUCCAGCUUUUACUUAAGUAAUUUGUAUAGAUAGAACACAUGGAACAAACAAGAAAAAUCUGGAUUUAACUAUAUUAUUGUUAAAGAUGAGAAUAAUAUUGGUUUUCCUGUUGCAUUUUUAUUUUCUAAUAGAUUAGAUCAAGUAAUUCAACAAAUAUUUUUUAGUGCUUUACAGGUUAAACUAGGGGAAACAGUAAAGGCUGAAUACAUAAUGAGUGAUGAUGACCCAAAAUACUACAAUGCUUGGUGCCAAGUGAUGGGUACAAACCAGAAACCUAGAAGACUUCUUUGUACAUGGCAUGUUAUCAAAAAUUGGAAUAUUCAAGCUACCAACAUAAAAUUACCCUAGAAGCUCAUAAGAAAACAGAAGAGAUGGUUGAAAAGGUAAACGUUUCGAGUAAUAGUAAUUUUAAGGUGCAAUCUGGUUCGGUAAGUAAUAAACAUUAUUUUGUAUCCUAUAAUGAGGCAUGUGAUGUGGAAUGCAGAACUGGAUAUUGCAACAAAUGUAAAAUAUGUUUACAUAAUUAGCGCUGUAAAUGUCCAGAAAAUGCUGUUAAAACUGUUAUUUGUAAACAUAUACAAGCUGUAGCAAUGUUUGAGCAGAGAUGCGAGUCUGUUUUAGGUACUGUAAGCUCCGAUGAUGAAAAGAGGAAUGAUUUGCAUAUUGAUGAGCUAUCAACAUUCCGGGUACGUUACCAAGAUGAUAUUACCCAUUUUAUUCAGGAAACGAAGCCCGUUCUCCAUGUAGACACUAUUGCAUUUGAAGAUAGGCGACAGGUUUGAAAAAAUUAAAAUUCGUAAAAAGAAAAAUUGAGAAGCAAACAUAUUAUCCUAAUAAAAAAUAAUAUAACUAUUUAUAAACCUUUCAUUUUCAUAUAAUAUUUUAUUUUUUAGAUAAUUGCAUACUUUAAUCAGUGUUUUAUUUAUUGCAUAGUUUUUAAUUAAUAAAUAAUAAUGGUAUGAUAUAAGAUGUAAAUAAAUUUUAUUGUCAUAUUUUAUAAGUCAAUUUACACUCAAAAUACAAAUAAAAGCAGUAUA